GGGGAAUAUUGGACAAUGGGCGAAAGCCUGAUCCAGCCAUGCCGCGUGUGUGAAGAAGGUCUUCGGAUUGUAAAGCACUUUAAGUUGGGAGGAAGGGCUGCAAGUUAAUACCUUGUAGUUUUGACGGUACCUUGACAAGAAGCACCGGCUAACUACGUGCCAGCAGCCGCGGUAAUACGUAGGGUGCGAGCGUUAAUCGGAAUUACUGGGCGUAAAGCGUGCGCAGGCGGUUGUGUAAGACAGGUGUGAAAUCCCCGGGCUUAACCUGGGAACUGCGCUUGUGACUGCACGGCUAGAGUACGGCAGAGGGGGGUGGAAUUCCUGGUGUAGCAGUGAAAUGCGUAGAUAUCAGGAGGAACACCGAUGGCGAAGGCAGCCCCCUGGGCCUGUACUGACGCUCAUGCACGAAAGCGUGGGGAGCAAACA
rnacentral:rRNA from 1 species